UUGUUUGACACUUCACACUUUUGUUGAAUUUUCCUGUGCAUCUCCCUAGGUCCAUCUAUAAAGUGUUUCACUCCUACUCAAGUUACAUGAGGAUCAUUUCAGUCCGGAAUGAGGCGAACAGAGUGUGGAUUUUCAUGGGAGGGUGGUUGACCUCUCUGUUUGGCCAAUGAUUUCUCCAAACUCAACAACCCUACCUUCCUCUUAUUUCCCAACAAGAACCAAAAAAACAAAAUAAAAUUAUUAACAUUAAUAUAAUGUUUGUAUCAACAGCAAGAUUCAAGAGCAGUACUGUUAUUAUUACUUCCUCUGUUCCCAUCUUUUUUAAAAAACAGUCCACAAAUUGCUACUACCAAAAAAAAAAAGGAGAAAAUUGAAGGAAAGGUGUCUUUUUAAGUCUUGAAUUUGGAGAGGCAAUGAUGAUGAUGAUAUUUAGUAUUUGCUGUGUGAUAAUGAUUUCUGGGCUGAAAUUAUUAUUAUUAUUAUUCGGGGCAAUGGAGAAAACCCGACCCGUAUCUUGGCGGGGCAAAAUCCGAAGCCCGGUUCGUUUUGCAGCCAUGGCGUUGUCGUAUUUUUCUCCGUUUUGUUUCCCCCAUUUUACACACAUCUGAGCCUCCCUCUAUUUGACAAAUUCGGAUCCGGGUCGAUCUGGAUUUCGGUUCUUGAUGGAAACCCAGUUCAGUUUAGGUCAAAAGACUGAGGUAAUUGGAGAAAUAUUGGGAUUUUUUGGUAUCCGGUAUGUCAAUGAUUUCUACUUUGCUCUAAUUAACAACCCUUUUUUAGCUUUUGCUGUAAUUUCCUCUAUUUUGUUUUGGGGACUUGCGUUUUAGUAAUGCGCUAUUAAUAUGAGAAAGAUUUGCAACUUAUAGUAUUUUUGUAUAGUUUUCAACUAUCUAAAUUUAAAAUUUAAAUAUUGCAUUAAUCUAAUCAGUUUAGUUUCGAACAUUAGUCAAAUUGAUUCUCAUGAAGUAAAUCGUGUCAGUAAAAGUAAACACAGGGAGUACAUAGCAAUGGGCUUAGAAAUUGCAUGUUUUGGGGACAUACGUUAAGUUCUUUAGAAACUGAAGUUAUGUUCGACAUAACUUGUGGGAUAUUAUUAUAGGAAAAAUAUAAAUUUAUGUCUCGUGAAAAAGUUGUUUGUUAUGAGGCACGUAAAUUAAGGACCAGCACAAAAUAGGUGCAAAGUGCUAAUGACUCAUUGAUGGAAGCUCAGCCCAAGUUUGAAGAAUGAGGCCAACAGGGAGAAAGGGAAUUUUCUUUGGAGGGUGGUUGUCCCCUCUGAUUGGCCUAUGAUUUCUCCUUUAACCAACAACCCUAUGCAAAAGUGGAAACAAGAAAUAUUGUUUGUCACCAUCGCCUUCAGUGGUGGCGAUGUGAUGCUGAUGGCAGUAGUACUAUUCAAUUUUCUGAUCAUUCUGAGGAACGUUUAAUUGCAUGAUCAUAAACUCUUUGAAGGUGCGGGCCAAAAGUUUAAAUGACCCUCUGAGCUAAGGUCUCUUUUGUUUUAUGCUUAUGCUUAAAACCACUUAAAAUAAGUCCAUCGAAACAGGCUCUUGUUAUUUUUUCUUGUUAAGGUUUGUUCAAACGGGUUCUUUUGGACAAGUUUCCAUUUUUGUCAAAAGAGGCAGUGAUGAUAUUGCUAAACUAGGCUGAUGUUUUGGGCAUGGAGACAGUCUGACCCGUAUCUUGGCAUGGCAAACCUAGAUGGCUUGUGAUUGAGUCUUCUCUUUCACAUGCAGCUGGUUCCUCUGCAGCCGUGGUGGUUGUUGCCUUCUCCUUGUCCCCUUUUUUGCAGCUUUGAGCCUCAAUUUCCAACUACAAGAGUCAGUUGUAUGCGGCCUUGCUAGACACCAGUCAACAUUAACUCUCUUUAGCUGUCUAUAAAGUGUCUUUUACUUAAGAAUGAGGAUCAUUUCAGCCGGAAUGAGGCCAACAGUGAAAAAAUGGGAUGUUCAUGGUUGGUGGUUGCCCUCUCUGAUUGGCCUAUGAUUUCUCCUAAUUCAAACACGAAGAGUAAAAUAUUGUAUCAAUAUGAUAAUUAACUCUUAAAGAAUAUUAUUAAAAUGCAAUUUGGUCUGCAAAGAUUCACUUUCAAGCACCCAUCUUGUAAACUAUCCAUGUUUUCUUCCAAGCAACUCCCAAUUGUAUCUAUGUUUUCUUCUGUUAAUUAAUUUUCUAAUUGAACGCUGGCCUCCUUCUCCUCCAUAUUUUUUGUCACAUGUCUGAAAUUCGUGAAGCUAUUAAUGCGGAUCUAUCAUCCUUAGAGAAUGAGGGGGUAUGUUUAUAUCAUCCUUGGAAAAUUCAACCUCCAUUAAUGGAAUGGAAGUUAAGCUCGAAGAAGAUUGUGGUUGGGUGGGAAGACAUUGUGGUGGGGCUUUUUUGUAAUUAUUUGGUCAAAAAACCACGUGUUAUUAAUUCAUUGGACACCCUGCCAUAUGUUUUUUUUAAAAAAUAUAAAAUAAUUGUGGGUGUAUAUAAUGAUGUGGCGAUUUAAAUGAGUUGGCACAAAUCAGUUGGCCGUUUAAUCCAUGUUGGAAGCGAUUGCGACCCACGCGCUAGAGUUGAUGCAAAAAGGUGCCACAAUGACACAGUUGAUAGCUGGUUUAACGUUUUAAAAUGAACAACGUCCACUUUAGUGCCAAAGUAAAAGUUUGUGCCAAGUUGAGGGGCCUGGCGAUGUGUUUGGCCUAAAGUUAAUUAUCACUUAUGUUUUACUCUGGGUGUAUUUGGUAUGGAGGGAAAUGUUGUAAAUCAGCCCUAAAGUGGCUACCUUGUGUACAACAACAACAUACUUAGGGUGAUCCCUGGAAUGUGGCCGCAUUGUGUCGUUUCUACUAAUAUGACCUUCGACAUGAGGCCCAUAAUAAGGCAGUGAUGAUUCUCAUUCUUUACUCGUCAGAUGGUUGAGCUUCGCUGUAUCUUGGUGUGGCAGCUUUUGGUGGGUCGUGUGAGAUAUUGGAACUAUUUUGGUUUUCUGCCUCUCACAACGACUCUUUAAGCUUGCAGCCAUGGUGGGGUUUAACUUAUGUUUGAGAAAAGGUGAAUCUGAGCCUCGGAAAUCUCUGUUUGUGUUGAAAGAACGAGGCUUUUUAUACUACAUAACUUAUGCAACAUAACUUAAUUCCUUCAGAACAAAUGGGACAAAGGUUCUCUAAACUUACCAGGUGGCUUUCCAAACAGGCCCCAACUCUCUAUAGCCUCCAAUCUCCAUCUAUAAAGAGUCUUAACUCAAGAAUGUGGAUCAGUUCAGUGCAGAAGGAAGAAUGAGACCAACUGAGGGGAAAAAAAUGAAUUUCAUGGAGGGUGGUUGCCCUUGCUGAUUGGCCUAUGAUUUCUCCAUCCCACCAAACCAACAACCCUCCGUUGCUAUAGCAACAAUAGUACUGCUAAUUAUUACUCUCCAUUCCAUUUUUACUUUUCUUGAAAACUGUGCACAAAUUGCUAUACAAAAAAGCAGUGAUGAUGAUAUUGCUGUGUGAUUAUUCUGGACUGAAAAUUUGCAGCAACAGAGAAAACCGAACUCGUAUCUUUGGGGGGGAGGGGGAGGGGGGAGCAAAACCUGAAUCAUCCAAAUUGGGUUCAUUUUGCAGCCAUGCCGUUGUUGUCUUCUUCUCCUCGCCCCUGAUUUUACACACAUCUGAGCCUCUAUUUCAAAUCCCGAUUUACAUCCUCGGAAACUCAGUUCAUUUUAGGCAGAAUGACUGAGGCAAUCGGAGAAAAAUUGUCUCCGGUAUGUCAAUGAUUUCUUCUUUGCUCUAAUUAACAUCCCCUUUUUAGCUUUUGCUGUAAUUUCCUGUAUUUUUGGGAUUUACACUUUACAGAGCAACAUAAAGGGUGUGUUUGGUAUGGAGGAGAAUGUUUUCUAUGGAAAACGAUACAGUAAUUUCCUGUAUUUUUGGGAUUUACACUUUACAGAGCAACAUAAAGGGUGUGUUUGGUAUGGAGGAGAAUGUUUUCUAUGGAAAACGAUACAGUCUAUCCAAAUAUUUUAUUUGUCAAAUCAAUACAGUAUAAUAAAAUACAACACAGUACAAUCCGAUACAUUAUGAAACACAUGUAACAAUCAUCCAAAUUAAGUGUAACUCUCUAUAGCCCUAUCUAUAAAUAGUCUUUUACUCAAAAAUGAGUAUCAUUUCAGCCCAGAAUGAGGCCAACAGAGGAGAGAAAAAAAUGGGGUGUUCAUGGAGGGUGGUUGCCCUCUCUGUUUGGCCUAUGAUUUCUCCAAAACCUGCAACCGUCCCUUGCCAUUGAUAGCAGCAGCAGCAGCAGUACUACUAAUAUUAUUAUUAUCAUUACUUCCUCCGUUCCAUCUUACUUUUCUUGAGAAACUGUCCACAAAUUGCUAUACCAAAAAGAGGCAGUGAUGAUGAUAUUUGCUGUGUGAUAAUGAUUCUAGGCUGAAAAAUUCCCGGAGCAUGGAGAAAACCUGACCCGUAUCUUGGCGGGGCAAAAUCCGAAUCAUACAAACCAGGUCGUCUUGUUCUCCUUUUUGCCCCCCCCCCCCCCCCCCCCCCCCCAUCCUGAUUCGGAUCUCGAUGGAAAUCCAGUUCAGUUUAGCUCAAAGGGCAGAGGCAAUCCGAGAAAAAAUGGGUCUUUUUCAGUCUCUGGUAUGUCAAUGAUUUCUUCUUUGCCCUAAUCGACAACCCUUUUAGCUUUGCUGUAAUUUCCUUGAUUUAGGGACGUGCACUUUACAUAGCAAUAGACAUAAAAUUGCACGUUUUGCGGAUAUAAGUUCUUUAGAAACUGAAGUUACGCCUUAUGAUAUGAAAAUAUGAACUUAUGCCUCGCGAAAAAGUUGUUUGCUAUGAGGAUCCUAAAUUAAAGACCCAACACAAAAUAGGGCCAGAAGUAAGCUCUCAGCCCAGAAUGAAGAAUGAGGCCAACAGGGAGAAAAAGGGAGUUUCUUUGGAGGGUUGUUGACCGCUCCGGUUGGCCUAUGAUUUCUCCUUUAACCAAAUAAACAACCCUCUGCAAAAGUGGAAACAGGAAACUGUAUUUGUUUUCAUCUCCUUUAGUGGUGGUGAUGUGAUGCUGAUGCUGAUGGCAGUAGUACUAUCUGGUGUAGUUUGGUAGAGUGUAUAAGAAACUGAAGUUAUGCGUUAUGAUAUAAUAAUAUAAAUUUAUGCCUCACGAAAAAGUUGUUUUUCUAUGCGGGUCAUAAAUUAAAGAGCAAAACAAAACAGGAGCAGAAGUGCGAAUGACCCAGUAAUGGAAGGUCUCAGCCCAUAAUAAGAAAUGAGGACGACAUGGAGAAAAAGGGAAUUUCUUUGGAGGGUGGUCGCCCCCCUGAUUGGCCUACAAUUUCUCCUUUUGAUCAAACUAACAGCCUUUUCCAAAAGUGGAAACAAGAAAAAAUGUUUGUUGCCAUCACCUUCAAUGGUGGCAAUGUGAUGCUGAUGGCAGUAGUACUAUUCAAUUUUCUGACUAAUAUGAGUUGCAUUUAAAUUUUACUUGUAUGGUUUGCCCUUUAAUUUUUACCCUUAGUAUCUUUAAGGGCGUGGGGCAAAAGUGCAAAUGACCCUCUAAGCUAAGGUCUCAUUUGUUUCAUGCUUAUGCUUAAAUGACACUUAAAAUAAGCCCAUCCAAAUAGGCUUGUGUUAAUUUUUCUUGUUAAGGCUGUUCACUCUUCUGCAAAAGUUUCCAUUUUGUUUUUUGAAAUUGGUAAUGUUGUAUUCCUCAGAAUGCUGGAGACCUCCAAAAAGGGAUCACAGAGAGUAGCAGAUCUAAUUACAAGGAACCUAGCAUAUCUACUAGUUGUUCUACCUCUUCUAUACCUUCCUCUUUACACCAAAAAUAUAAACAUAUGAUACAUUUCUCCUUUACUCUGUGGAUGGAAUUAGAUUUGUUCUUAAAGCAUCUUCCGUUCCUUUCCUUCCAUAUUGACCACCAUAUGCAAGCUGGAAUCAUCCUCCACCACUUUUUUUGAUUUUUGCUUCCACCUCUUCUAAUCCAGCAGCUCAACAAGUCAGCAAGUCAGCAGUGUGUUCUGACAUUGUCCAACUAUUGUCUGUGAGUCUCAAAAACAGAUUCCAAAGUUGAGUUGUGACUCUACAAUGUAGAAAUAAAUGGUUGUUGGUCUCACUUGUCUCAUUGCAAAGAAAACAUCUGGGAACUAGUUGCCAACCUUUCCUCUGCAAUACCUCUUGAGUCAGGCAUGCCCUCUUAGCCACUAACCAUACAAAACAUUUGACCUUGCUUGGUGCUUGACUUAUCCAUAUUUGUUUCCAUCUAGCCAGUGUGAGAGUUUGAUAAGUUCCAAGUUCCUUUUGUAGAGCCUGUUGACUGUGAAGCUUCCAUCCUUUGAAUGUUUCCAUGAGAUUGUGUCCAUCCUUACCUCAAAACCUUUAAAUUCAUUGAGUGACUGUAACAGUUGUGCCACCCAAUCUAUUUCCCAAUCAUUUAGAUUUCUCCUAAAAGUUAUAUUCCGACCAUUUGACCAACUUUCUACCAAAGUGACUUCAGUAUUGUUGCAAAGACAAAACAAGUCAGGAAAAGUGUGCAUUAAGGUCUCUUGACCAGCCCAAACAUCCUUCCAAAAUAAGAUUUUAGCUCCAUUUCCUAUUUUCAGUUUGAUGUUUCCUGCAAGUCUAGUCCAGAGGGACCUUAUUGAUCUCCAAGUUGAGACUCCAUAGGGACUAGUAACUUCUUUUGUAUACCAUUGGGAGUCUUGACCAUAUUUAUGUUGUAUGACUAUUUUCCAGAGAGCCUGGUCGUCCUCCCCGUAUCUCCACAGCCAUUCACUCAUUGUGGGUUCUCAAAUUCUUAAUUCCAAGAUCACCUGAGAGUUUAGGUAAUUGUAUUGUUUUCUAGUUUACCAAGUAGUACCCUUUCCCUUGUUUCCAAACCACAAAAAUUCUCUUCUGAGCUUGUCUAGUUUCUUCCUUACCUUUGCAGGUAAAGGAAAUAAAGGUAUGACAUAAGUGGGAAGUGGGUCCACAACUGCAUUUAUUAGAGUAUGUCUGCCCCAAGUGACAAAUACUGCGACUUCCAUAUGGCUAAUUUCUUUUCAGUCUUUUGAAUUAUAUUUCCCAUAUCCUCAAUUCUUUGUGUUUGCUACCCAAAGGCAUUCCCAAGUAGGUUGUUGGGAGUUUGUCAAUCCUGCACUCUAAAAUGUUGGCAAGUCUUUGCAUCUGUGCUACUUCUUUAAUAGGGGAUAGACUACUCUUUCUCCAAUUGACUUUGAGGCCAGAAACAACUUCCAAAAUCAACAAAAUUACUCUGAUAAUUCUAAUCUGCUCUUCUUUUGCCUCACAGAAUAUCACAGUGUCAUCGGCAUAGAGUAAUUGGCAAAUCUUCAUAUUCGCCCUUGCUCUGUUGCUGACUUCAAAUCCCUUUAUCCAUCCGUUCUGAGUAGCCACCCGCAUCAUGCUGUUAAGUCCUUCCAUGACUAGAAUAAGUAAGAAUAGGGAGAGGGGAUCUCCCUGCCUUAAGCCCCUUUCAGAAGGAAAAAAACCCACAGGUUCUCCAUUGACCAGAAUGGAGAACCUGACAGUUUUAAUACAAAAACUUAUCCAUUUUAACCAUUUAUCUCCAAUCCCAUUUGCCUUAAGAUGCUAAUAAGAAACCCCCAAUUCACAUGAUCAUAUGCCUUUUCGAGAUCAAGCUUGCAUAUUAUGCCUGCGACCUCUCCUCUCAUCCUGGUGUCCACACAUUCAUUGGCUAUUAGGGCAGCAUCCAUGAUUUGUCUAAAAUGCCAUUUGACGUUUGUUCACCAACUUGUUCACCACCUGUUUGAGCCUUUGAGCUAAUACCUUAGCUAUAAUCUUGUAUAGCCCACUGAUUAGGCUUAAGUGAUGUAGCUCCAUUUUUCUUUGAGAUAAGUGCCACAAAAGUGGCAUUGAUACUUUUCUCAAAAACCUGAAACUCAUGGAAAUGAUGCAUAGUCUUCAUAUGUCUUCCUUCAUAAUAGGCCAAAUUUUUUGUAGAAGCUCAUUGAAACCCAUCAGGCCCUGGUGCCUUGUCACUAGCACAGAGCCUAAUACCCUGCAAGACUUCUUCCUCCUCAAAUUGUCUCUGUACCCAAAUUUGUUCCUCCAGGUUUAUGCUUGUGAAAUCUUGUAAGUUGAGAUCAGGUCUCCAUGUCUCUGUCUCUUCAUACAGGUUUUGAUAAUACUCUUGAACUAAAGUUUUGAUAGCAUCUGGAUCAGUAAUAAUACUUCCCUCCUCCUCAAUUUUGUCAAUGGUAUUGAACCUCUUAUGUGUUGUGGCCAUUUUGUGGAAGUACUGUGUUCUUGUCCCCAUUCUUCAACCAUUGGACUCUAGACCUCUGUCUCCAUGCUAUCUCCUCGUUCUUGACUACCUCCUCAAACUCCAUUUCAAGUUAAGUCUUAUGCAGUAAUUCAUCAUUUGUUAACGCUCUCUGUUCCAUGAUCGUUUCUAAUCCAGAUAUUUGGUUCAAGAUGUUCUCCGUCCUUUGUCUCCAGGUGUUCUGGUGUUCCUUUCCCCACUCUUUCAAUUUCUCUUUUAAGAGUUUCAAUUUAAAUGUCAGGAUAUAAGCCGGACUGCCAGAUGCAUUGAAAGAAACCCACCAUUCCUUUAACCCACCAUUCCUUUACUUUCUCUUUAAAACCCUCCACCCCUAUCCACCAUUGUUCGAAUUUAAAAUAUGGUUUCUUGAAAUCCAUAUCUCCACACGUUAACAUAAUGGGAUUGUGAUCUGACCCUAUUUUUGGCAAAAAUGAUUGUUUGAUGUGCAAAAAUUUUUCCUCCCAUUGAGAUGAGUACAGGAACCUAUCGAUUCUGGAGGCACUCUCAUGAUUAUCGCUUCUUCUCCAAGUGUAUGACCCUCCAAAUAAAGGAGGGUCAACAAGCUCCAUAUCAUUAAUCCAAUCUGAAAAUUCAUCCCCUGGGUAUCUUGUGAUGUUGAAGUCACCACAUAAUACCCAUGGUCCAUCACAGAGACUUCUAAUAGCUGCUAGCUCCCACCACAGUUCUCUUCUUUCUACCCUCUUGCAAUUUGCAUAGAUGGCAAUUAGAUACCAGGUCAUAUCUUGUUCUAAGCCCUCAAACCUGAAAGUGAGCAUCUGGUUUCCACUAUCUACCAGUUACCCCUUCCAUAAUCUUUUGUCCCAAAGCACCACUAUCUUACCACUUCUUCCAAUAGACUCCAUGUGAACUUCUCCCAGCCAUCUAUUGUUCCAGCCAUCUAUUGUUCCAGAUAUGUUGAUAGAAGUUUGAUUCAUUCCCAGUUUGCUUAGUUUCAACCAACACGUGAAUGUCGGCCCCCAUUGAACGAACAGAUUUCUCACAAUUCUUCUUUUGCUCUCCCCGUUUAACCCCCUUACAUUCCAAGAUAAUAUUUUAGUCUUCAUGAGAAACUUCUUGUGAUAUUCUCCCUCUUAACCUUGGCUCUCCUUCUUUGUAUUUCAUGUCGAAAGCCAGAUUUCUGACUUUCUUAGGGACUACUUCUUUGUGAAUUUCCUGCUUCCCUUCCCCCUUUUGUUUUUGUACCAUCCCUCUCCUUUGGUCAAUUUUGAGAAGAAGUUCAUAAGCCAUCUCCUUACACCCCUCAUAAGAUGCCCCAAACUUUUUCCUUAAUUUGAUCACAUUCGAGUGUAUCCACAAUGUUGCUUUCUCCUUCGCUGCCUCCUCGCUGAUUGGCUCAUCCACUUGUAAUGGUUCUAUGUCAUUAAAAUUCAACAUUUGCUUAGGGUUUUCCUCAUGGUUAUCUUGCCCCUCCCAAAGUUGAAUUUCUGAGCAGCUGCUCCCAAUUAUUUCUUUUUCCCCUUGUGGAUUUUGGCUCUCCAUGUACUGUAUCAGGCUCCCCUCUCUCUCUCUGAUUCUCCUCCGUGAUUCUGAUUGCUUCAAGUUCAUCAACAAAGAUGAAGAAAUCUUGAUUAUCGACUGUGUUUUUUUGUUGACUAUGGAUGUACUCUGUGAAAAGCUCAGCAGUUUUUAUUUUUGUGGCUUGUAAAAGAUUGGGCUUAAAACAAGGCCCAAUAUUUUGUCCAUCUAAUUCCACUGACUUGUAUUAUAAGUCUUUGGGCAGCAAAAUUUUAAGUCCAUUCAUACCAGGUGUCUCUUUCGACCCCACUCUUGUGGACCCACUCUCACGUGCCACGCUCUUGGCUCUACCCCAUUUGUCUUUCUCCUGGCUCUCCUCAAUAUCCAACGGAUAUUCCCCAACGCUUCUUUUUCCUCAUUCAUACUCUGUUUCUUUCAUCUUCAAAGAUCCAGCCAGGCUGUCUACCUCCUUCCAUAUCUUGUCCCUUUCUUCUCGUUGAAAGAGCUUGCCACCAUUGACCUUUCUGUAUCUUGCCGGAGCCUCUACCCAGAUUGGUAAAGAAAACACUGUGUCGCCAUCGGCGACCUCUACAAAUCGUGGGAUUUCCUCGAGACGUCCCUUCACCUUGAUGCGAGCCCAUCUCAAGUGGUUCUUGAGCAUAGUCUCUUCUUCUGUUUCUAACCAUCCACCACACUCGUCUCCUAUUUGUUUCAUCACUUUUUCCGACCAAAGCUGAAGGGGGAGUCCGAGGGCUCUUAUCCAAAACCAAUCACACUUAGCCUGGGUCGGAUAAGCCCCUACUGUUGGGGACCACCAUUCAAGCUUCAAGCUUCUGCUUCGUCUCUUCCAGGUUCCUCCCAGGAUGUGUUCUCCCAGUUUUCAUUUUUUAGGCAGUGAUGAUAUUGCUAAUCUGGGCUGAUGUUUGGGCAUCGAGACAAUGUGACCCAUAUAUUGGCAUGGCAAACCUGGAUGGCUUAUGAUUGAGUCUUCUCCUUUACAUGCAACUGGUUCUUUUGCAGCCGUGGCGGUUGUCGAUUUCUCUUUGCCACACUUUUUGCAGCUCCUCAAUUACCAACUAGUAUGAUUGUCCAAGGACUCCAAGAAUUUUGAACCUAAAUGAAGAAAAGACUUCAAUGCACACACAAACACAUACACAAAAACACACAUCAUCAACAACAACAUACCCUGUGUAUUCCCACAAAGUGGGGUCUGGGGAGAGUAAAGAGUACGUAGUCCAUGCCACUACCUCAGAAUGAAGUAGGGAGGCUGUUUCUGAUAGACCCCUGGCUCUAGACAAACAGUAUAAGAAGACAUAAUAAAAACAAAAAACAAGAUGGACUAACACACACACCAAUAGAUCAUAUAAAAAACCAGACACCCACAGAGUAGUACUAUAAACUAUCUAUUUCGAAAACAAACAUCACCAAACACCACACACAAGAAACUACAAGAGACGCACAUAGCACUACGACUACUGAUACAACUACAAAUAAAGCAUCCCUUCCUACUAGCAAGGACGCACUUCCACCUACUAACCGUCUACCCUAAUCCGCGUCUUUCCCACCUUCUAUCUAGUCCAUGUCAUGUCUAAUAACCCGCCCUCCAAUAUUUCUUCGGCCCCUCUAUCCUGCUAGAAACCAUCUAUAGCCAAUCUCUCACACCUCUGAACUGGGGCAUCCGCACACCUCCUCAUCGUACAUCAUGAGAAAAUGAAAAAGGGUCGGGGCAGUGAUGAUGAUCUUUUGAUCUAUCCUCUUGAUCUAGUAAUUGGUCAUUGAAAGUACCCGAUCGGUAUCUUGGCGGGGCAAUGACCCGGAUGCUUGUGAGUUUGUUGCAUGAAACUGGGGAAUAUUUGCAGCCAAUGCUUGGCUGGACUUUCUUUGCCUGAGCAUAAAUACAGAUCUGAGCCUCAGUUGUCACUUCUGUAUUACUCCAGGUGUACUUGGUAUGGAGGAAAAUGUUUUAGUGUAUCAGCCCCAAAGUCGCUACUUCGUGUUCAACAACAUAUCCAGUGUGAUCUGGAAAGUGGCUACCUUGUGUUAUUUCUACAAAUAAGAACCUUCAACACGAGGCUCAUAAUGAGGCUGUGAUGAUUUUCAUUCUUUACUCAUCAGAUGGUUGAGCUUUGCUAUAUCUUCGCGUGGCAGCAUUUGUGAUUUCUUGUGAGAUAUUGGAGUAUUUUGGCUUCUGCCUCUCACAAAGUCUCCAUAAGCUUGCCGCCAUGGUGCGGUUUAGCUUAUGUUUGAGAAAAGGUAAAUCUGACCCUUCCAAAUUUCUGUUUGUGUUGAAAGAAUGAGGCUUUUUAGAAUACAAAACUUAUGCUGCUUAACUUAAUUCCUACGGAACUUAACCGAGUUGAGCGAGACAAAAGUUCUCUAAAAUUAUGCCGUGACAAAAGUUACCUAUGUUGGGGCAAUCCGUGCAAUAACUUGUUACAUGCAUUGAGAAAAUCUGACCCGCAUCUUGGCAGGGCGACCCGGUAGGACAUAAUUUGUAUACUGAUGUCUGCAGCCAUGGCGUUUUCGCUUUCUCUUUGCAUGUUCAUAUACAACAGAAAGUCUGGUAAAUUUCUCAAAUGGUCACUCAACUGAUGGGGGUUCUCAGGAACCUGAAUACCCAAUCGUUUUCAGUCCGAGCAACAUAGAAUACGUUCAAUGAGGCAAUGGAGAUGUUCAUUCUUUUAGAAUCUGAUAGUUGAACUUUGUUGUAAAUUGGCGUGGUAGCUUUAAGGGUCUAUGAGAUGAGGGAACUAUAUUGGUUUUCAUCUUACUAGGGCUAUUAAAGCUUGCAGCCAUGACACAGUUUAGCUUUUUACUGAGAAAAAGCAAAUCUGAGCCUCCCAAGUAUCUGUUUGUGUUCAGAAGUUAGGUUUUUUAUUGAACUCGAGAAUGGGAGAGAUUUUCCAAGGGUGGUUAUUCUCUUUUUCCCAAGUUCAAAACCAAUGAAUUUUGCUAUGCUUUUGUCAUAAAAAUAAAAGUUUAACAACUCUUUUCAUCAGCAAAAUGCUCUUGAUGAUGAUGAUGAUGAUGAUGAUGAUGUUAUGUUUGCAUGAUUAUGGUAAUAAUAAGGGAAAAUACAUAUUUUGCCCCUUCGACCUGUCCGGAAAACCCUUAAUCCUUCUACCCUAAGGGGUCAUUUGGUUGGAAACAAGUUAUCCUAGGAUUAGUUAUCCGAUGCAGUUUUUUCCAACCAAACAUGGGAUAAGCUCAUACUAAAAUUAAUUCCGGGAUUAGUAUCCUUAUCCCUUUUACCAAACGAGCCCUAAAUUUAUGAAUAAGGCUGUGAUAUUCCCCAGGAAGACUGAAAAUCAGGUUUUUGAGCUGAUUUGUAUCUGGGCUAGGCAAAGGCAGGAGAAUUUGUCAGGGCAGAUUUUUCUGUACCUUUCAAAGGCUUCUGCUUUUUGCAGCCAUGGCGGAUUGGCUCUUUUUUCUGAUUUGAGGGAAAAAAUAAAAGACCACCUUAUUUCAGGGCAAUCCGUGCAAAAACUUGUUACUUUAAUGCAUUGAGAAAACCGGACCCGCAUCUUGGCUGGGCGACCUGGUAUGGCAUAAUCUGCAAACUGGUGUCUGCAGCCAUGGCGUUGUCCCUUCUCUUUGCAUGUUCAUAUGUAAAAUUUCUCAAAUGGGCCACUCAGCUGAUGGGGGAGUUGUACUUUGUUGUAAAUUGGCGUGGCAGCUUUAAGGGUCUGUGAGAUUAGUAUAUUGGUUUUCAUCUCGCUAGGCUGUUAAUGCUUGCAGCCAUGGCAUAGUUUAGCUUUUUUCUGAGAAAAAGCAAAUCUGUGCCUCCCAAGUACUCCCUCCAUUUCACCGAAUCAUCAACCCUAAACUUUGUGAAUAAGGCUGUGAUGAUAGUCUCCAGGAAGCUUGAAAGUCAGAUUUUUGAGCUGAUUCGUAUCUUGGCUAGGCAAAGGCAGGGGAAUUUGUGAUGAUAGGUUUUUAUGCACCUCACGAAGGCAUCUGCUUUUUGCAGCCAUGGCCGAUUGGCUCUUUUUUCUGAUUGAUUUUCACUCAAAUCUGAGCCUCUUUUCUGUUUAAAGUUUAGUUCUACAAUAUUUAGUCUUUCUUUUUCAUUCUUUGUACGAUUAGUUCAUAGUUGAAAGAGGCGAAGAGCUCCCUACGAGAAAGAAACUUUUUUGUAUCUAUCUAUACAAUUUCCACAAAUUGUUAGGUACCGAUAUGAGAAAAGUCUAAAGUGAAUUGAAGUGAAUAUUGGAGUAUCCAUAUGUUGUUGCUGCACACAAUAUUUAUUUUUAAACUUUUCAUGCUUUGCUUUCAAUCCUGAAAUAUCCAUGUUUCAGAGGCAUUGAAGAUUGUUCAUAGUGAAAUAAAAGUGAAGAAAAUUAGAGUUGAUUUGUGGCCUGGCUUGGCGAUUUCAAUUGGAAGGUCUUUUAAGGCAACAGUUGCUUGCAGCGGAUGGUCUUAUAAGGCAACAGUUGCUUGCAGCCAGGGCACUGUUAACUCUGCUCUUCCUUUGUUUAAAUAGGCGAAAAUCUGAGCCUCAUUCUUAACGUAGUUCAUUUAUUUUUGUUUACUGGUCUUUCGGGAAGAGAUUUAGUUUUCCAUCACCGUGGAACCACUGAAAUCAACAGCUCAGGCUGCCAAUGUCAAAAACCAUUUGCUAUCUUGAUUGGGUUGGCGAAAAUUGGAUCUGCCCACACGAAAAGGAAAAUGGCUGCGCAGCGAGUACGUGGGUGUUUGCAAAGAUGAAGAAGGGAGUCUGACUAAUAAAUGUUGCUCGAGGGGGUAUCAUUGAUGAAGACACAUUAGUUAGAAACCUUGAUAGUGGAAUUGUUGCUCAAGCAGCACUUGAUGUGUUCACAGUGGAACCUCCUCCAAAAGAUAGCAAAUUAGUGCAACAUGAGAAUGCUACUGUUACCCCUCAUCUUGGAGCUAGCACAAAGAAGGCACAGGAAGGUGUUGCAAUUGAAAUAGCCGAGGCUAUUGUCAGUGCUCUAAAUUGGGAACUUUCGUCCAUCUCUGUGAAUGCACUGAUAGUUCCUCCUGACGGGUGGAUCGAGGAUUUGAAGAUCGUGGUUGCUCACUUCCUUUAAGUAUAAAAUUGCUAGCAAUCACAGAGAACAAAUGUAUAGCUACUCGAACAAUGAACACAUCAAUAAAGACUUCAGUGAUAAAACAAUGAUUAAUAUUACCAUCACCAAAAAAUAACUUUCAAUCACAAGUCACAAUGGCUUACUAGUAAUAUUAUCAUUGGAAAAGGAGACUUCUAGUCUUUAAGUCA